GUCAGUACCUUAUUCAAUGUCCAGGGUACUGGAGUGGUUGUAUAUACAGGUCAGUUCCUUAUUCAAUGUCCUGGAGGGGUGGAGGUGGGUUUAUACAUAAAAAGUGAUUGGUGGGGGGCCUCCCGGGUGGCACAGUGGUUAAGGGCGUAAAAUAAAAUACAUUUUAAAAAGUGAUUGGACGUAGGAUGCACAUAAACAUGGCUGAAAGGUGACUGGUUGGUAGCAGGAAUAUAUACAUAUUUAUGAUAAUAUAUUAACGGGAACAUAGUGAUAUUUAUUAUAAUCUGCAACAUUUCAACUUCUAAAAUACAUAGAGUCCUUGUAAUUUACAGCAUCGCUCAGUCAACAAAACAUUUGCUAAAGUUGCCCAAUUAGCGGGAGGGCUGGGGGAAAGAUCUGUGUCGCACACAGUGCUCAAGUCUAUGACGUCUGUCAGUCAAAACCCCGGCACAGGGUAUGUUACUGUAUAGCAUGUUACUGUAUAGCAUGUUACUGUAUAGCAUGUUACUGUAUAGCAUGUUACUGUAUAGCAAAGUUGGGUCGAAGCUCUGAAGACGACAGCAUUACGGUACGGCGCCAUCUUAUGGAAAACAUGGACACUGUUACAGGAGAAUAGAUUGGAUCGCAGCGGCUUUCCGCCGUGGGAAAACCAGAUGAUCUGAGAUGCAAAAUCCCAUCUAAAGUCAAGAAUCCAGUGGCUUGAUUUAUUAAAACUAAAAGUUUUUAUUUGUAAAAUUCAAAAUAAUACAUUCAGAUAAUAACAAAGGUUCCAAUAUUCAAAACAUGUGUGCCUUCACAGUAUCUCAAGCAUUUGCCCUAACCAGCAAGCCUUACUUCCUGUCUCUAAAUUCCCAAUUUACAUAUCUGGGCGGGCCCGCCAGUAUUUCUAACUGUUUCUGGCUAGAGGGCGUAAUUGACCGUUUCGCAUUUAAAUCAAAAGACCACAUAACCAAAUUAAUGUAUACACCUUAUAUAGAAUCGAAAUGAUUCUAAAUGGUGCAAUAUGACCUAAUAAACAGAUAUUUGCAUAACCAAAGAAAGAUAGAAACUGGCUCCAACAGGGGAAGAAAGAGAAGAUGGGAAUGUGCCCUGUUUCUUUGUUUGUUGUAAUUUACAACUUCAUAUAAAGCUUGGAAAUGAAAGCUUGAGAGUUAAACUGAACUGCUUCAGCAAAGACUCAUGGGAAAGGAGAAAGGAGGAGUGUGUUGGUCUGGAAAUAACAGCUGAUUAGAAAGGUUGAGAAUGAGAUUCAAAUGCAGGUUGUGUCAGUGGCCCUGCGCUACCAAAGGUUUUAAACUGGAUAUGAUCUACUAUGAAACUGAACUGCUAUAGCAAAGGAAUCCAAGCUGGACAAUUACCUAACAGCUAGUCUCUCGUGUCAUGACAGACUUCUAGGUUCCGAGACGACAGCCUUCUAGGUUCCGAGGUGACAGACUUCUAGGUUCCGAGACGACAGACUUCUAGGUUCCGAGAUGACAGACUUCUAGGUUCCGAGACGACAGACUUCUAGGUUCCGAGAUGACAGACUUCUAGGUUCCGAGACGACAGCCUUCUAGGUUCCGAGGUGACAGACUUCUAGGUUCCGAGACGACAGCCUUCUAGGUUCCGAGGUGACAGACUUCUAGGUUCCGAGACGACAGCCUUCCAAGAUUAGCCUUCAGAGUCUUAAAACGACAUUGUAUUUAUAAUACUGAGUCAUCAUGUUUGUUGCUUUGCAUUGCAUUCAAAUUGAAGGCUUGAAUUCUUGAUUUGCCUCUAGAAUAAACGUGGGAGUUUUAUACCAUGCCAUGGUUUUACAGCUGCUGUCUUGCCAUUGUAAUAAUAUAGCUCGUAAAUAAUUACAAUAUCAUCAUUCAAAAAUAAUCUCUUUUUAUAUGUGGUUAUUUACAGUAAUUUAUUAGCUUCAAUAGAAACAUGGGCUUCCCACAUUAUGUUAAAGAAGAACAUAAUGCCCUGCAUCUAAAUAUACUUGUAUGUUAUAUGGGUAUCUGACAUUCAUUCAAUGGAAAAUGAAGAAAUAAUAAGAUAUUGUCAAGGAAAUGUAUAGUCUUUCAUUUGUCCUGUCUAGAUAGGAAUAUCACAAGCAAAUCAGGUAUGUCUAUGGUGCAGUGUAUGUUACGCAUGAACGUGUAUACUUUGUUAGACAAUUCUGUGCAUUAUCUGUACUGCCUACUAAUGCUAUACUGUACAUCCUGAAAAGAUAAGCUACUGAGGAUUAGCUCCUGCAUUCACCACCCAUGAGUGGUCUAGCUAUAAUGUUUGUUCCCG
ensembl:lncRNA